CCCCAUCUCAAUUGUAUACAGUGAAAUGUGUGUGCAGGGCGCAGGUGCAGGCCAACAGAAGGAAUAUCUCUCUUAUACACAAUAUUCAUAUUAUUAACCUAGUGAUACAAUGUGCCCAUGGCACUUUGCCCUGCUGCCAGUUGUCUUUCCACCCCACUGCCAGACACAGGGCAAUGGAUCCAUUGACAUAACAGCCUGGGUACCG